rnacentral:rRNA from 1 species
CGUAGGGGACGAGCGUUGUCCGGAUUCAUUGGGCGUAAAGCGCGCGUAGGCGGCUCGGAAAGUCGGGCGUGAAGUGCCGGGGCUCAACCCCGGGACUGCGUCCGAUACUUCCGAGCUGGAGGUAGGUAGGGGAGAUCGGAACUCCUGGUGUAGCGGUGAAAUGCGCAGAUAUCAGGAGGAACACCGGUGGCGAAGGCGGAUCUCUGGGCCUUACCUGACGCUGAGGCGCGAAAGCUAGGGGAGCGAACAGGAUUAGAUACCCUGGUAGUCCUAGCCGUAAACGUUGGGUGCUAGGUGUGGGUGGACAUCGACCCCAUCCGUGCCGAAGCUAACGCAUUAAGCACCCCGCCUGGGGAGUACGGCCGCAAGGCUA